CACUGCACGGUCGACCUCACUGCCCAAGGGACCAAGAGCAAAGACCACGCAUUGUUCUGAGCAGUCUUCGAAGACAGCGGACGUUCAGUAAUCAUGCAGGUUCUCGCCUGGAAAUUUGUCUUUAUUUUUAAUCCUGGUAUAUUUCACAAGAGAAAUCCCUUUUUCCUUCCCCGCCUGUGCUGAAUCUGCCGAUGACAGAACGUAGCCUGGAAAUCUAAGCAAUUCAACGAACGCUCCUUCGAGUGAAGAUCGACAAUAUCAAAGCAACUGCGGGUCUGCUAUGGGGAAUCAUGUUGUUACAUGUAAUGCAAAUGAAGAUGUUGCAUUAAGGAAGACCAUCAUUAUCAUUAUCAUCAUCAAAGCAUCAUCAUCAAAGCAUCAUUAUCAUCAUCAUCAUCAUCAUCAUCAAAGCAUCAGCAGUUUUCAACACCAAAGCCUUGCAACAUGUAUUUGAUUUUGUCAACCAAUUGCAUCGAGAACUGCGGACGUCAGUAAAUAUGGUGAAGCAUCAAGAAUAACCAGUACAACGAAUUCGUCAUUCAGUGCGAUUCUUCAAGGGACCUCUUUAUUGCGUGCAUUUUAAUUCUUGGAAAAAAUAUAGACCCACGUUUGAGAGAAAUACUUGCAGCACAUAUGAAUGAUUAUUUUUUUUAUGGUCAAUGUGUGCGCACAGGCAAUUACCAUGAUCUCGUUGAUACUGAAAAAUUGACAAUGGAGCUUAGAAUAUAAUCCAUGGUUGGCCCAAAGUACUGUACUCUAUCUGAUGGUGAAAGUUUGUUUUUAAGGUUAUGUACAUGUAUUAACAUAUUCACACGUUUGAUGUUUUUUUUAUAAAUAAAAUCUUGUU